rnacentral:rRNA from 1 species
ACAGCAGUAGCCGCGGGAAUACAGAGGGUGCGAGCGUUAAUCGGAUUUACUGGGCGUAAAGCGUGCGUAGGCGGCUUCUUAAGUCGGAUGUGAAAUCCCUGAGCUUAACUUAGGAAUUGCAUUCGAUACUGGGAAGCUAGAGUAUGGGAGAGGAUGGUAGAAUUCCAGGUGUAGCGGUGAAAUGCGUAGAGAUCUGGAGGAAUACCAAUGGCGAAGGCAGCCAUCUGGCCUAAUACUGACGCUGAGGUACGAAAGCAUGGGGAGCAAACAGGAUUAGAUACCCGUGUAGUCCCUGUCUCUUAUAA